CCAACAGGGAUUGCCUCAGUAACGGCGAAGUGAAGCGGCAACAGCUCAAAUUUGAAAUCUGGCCCUCUCAGGGUCCGAGUUGUAAUUUGGAGAAGAUGCUUCGGGUGUGGCCCCGGUCUAAGUUCCUUGGAACAGGACGUCACAGAGGGUGAGAAUCCCGUACGUGACCGGUGGCCUCCCCCGUGUGAAGCUCUUUCGACGAGUCGAGUUGUUUGGGAAUGCAGCUCAAAAUGGGUGGUAAAUUUCAUCUAAAGCUAAAUAUUGGCCAGAGACCGAUAGCGCACAAGUAGAGUGAUCGAAAGAUGAAAAGCACUUUGGAAAGAGAGUUAAACAGUACGUGAAAUUGUUGAAAGGGAAGCGCUUGCAACCAGACUUGCGCGCGGCCGAUCAUCUGGUGUUCUCACCGGUGCACUCGGCCGCGCUCAGGCCAGCAUCGGUUUGGGUGGCUGGAUAAAGGCCUCGGGAAUGUGGCUCUCUCCGGGGAGUGUUAUAGCCCGAGGUGCAAUGCAGCCUACCCGGACCGAGGACCGCGCUUCGGCUAGGAUGCUGGCGUAAUGGUUGUAAGCGACCCGUCUUGAAACACGGACCAAGGAGUCUAACAUCUAUGCGAGUGUUUGGGUGUCAAACCCAUACGCGUAAUGAAAGUGAACGGAGGUGAGAACCCUUAAGGGUGCAUCAUCGACCGAUCCUGAUGUCUUCGGAUGGAUUUGAGUAAGAGCAUAGCUGUUGGGACCCGAAAGAUGGUGAACUAUGCCUGAAUAGGGUGAAGCCAGAGGAAACUCUGGUGGAGGCUCGCAGCGGUUCUGACGUGCAAAUCGAUCGUCAAAUUUGGGCAUAGGGGCGAAAGACUAAUCGAACCAUCUAGUAGCU
rnacentral:rRNA from 1 species